ensembl:snRNA U6 U6 spliceosomal RNA
CUUGCUUCUGUGUAACACACACUAAAACUGUAAUGAUACAGAGAAGAUUACAUGGCCCUGUACAAGGAGGACAUGUAAAUUCGGGAGGCUUCUGUGUUUCAU